GCUAAGGGGGCAAAACAAUCGAGUGCUGCUGUUUGACUGAGGAAGAAUAAAGUAGUCGUGGUUGCAGGAUUUGCCUGGGAGAGAGUCUGGCCAGGAUGGAGCUCUUCCUCUUCUUCACCACCCUCCUGCAGCAUUUUCGUUUCACUCCUGCACCUGGAGUUUCAGAGGAUGAA